GCCAGGUGGGCUGGCUUAAUCCCUGUUUCCAAGGGAGACUGAGGCUGGGGGAUCUCUUGAGCAUGGGAAUUUUGAGCUGCAGAGGAAUAAACAGAUAGUGUCAGCACUAAAUUGGCAUUUAUGUGGUGUGAAUCUCUGGAACUGGGGCCCACCAGAUUUCCUAAGGAGAGGGAAACCAGCCCAGGUUGGACAUAGAGCAGGCCAAAAGCUCCUGUGUGGAUUAGAGUGGGCCCCUGAAUAUCUUCUGCAUUUCCAGCCCCAGCAAGAUAGAGAGUCCCAGUCUCAA
rnacentral:SRP_RNA from 1 species